GAUGAACGCUAGCGGCAGGCUUAAUACAUGCAAGUCGUGGGGCAGCGCAGUGUAGCAAUACAUGGGCGGCGACCGGCAACCGGGUGCGUAACACGUACGCAACCUUCCCGUUACUGGGGAAUAGCCCAGGGAAACUUGGAUUAAUACCCCAUAUUAUAUUGAUUGGGCAUCUAAUUAAUAUCAAAGCUUCGGCGGUAACGGAUGGGCGUGCGGUUGAUUAGGUAGUUGGCGGGGUAACGGCCCACCAAGCCUACGAUCAAUAGCUGAUGUGAGAGCAUGAUCAGCCACACGGGCACUGAGACACGGGCCCGACUCCUACGGGAGGCAGCAGUAAGGAAUAUUGGGCAAUGGACGAAAGUCUGACCCAGCCAUGCCGCGUGGAGGAUGAAGGUCCUCUGGAUUGUAAACUUCUUUUUUCUGGGGCGAAAACCGGUUUUUCUAAACCAUUUGACAGUACCAGAAGAAUAAGCACCGGCUAACUCCGUGCCAGCAGCCGCCGUAAAAC
rnacentral:rRNA from 1 species